UUACGGUCAAAUCACGCUGAAACACCGGUUCUCGUUCGAUCACCGAAGUUAAGCCAGGUCAGUACUUAGAUGGGGGACCGCCUGGGAACACCUGGUACUGUAAG